UUUUAUCUGCUGACUGUUAGCGCGACAAUUGGCCUUAGGCCACUACUUAUUUCCUCUAGGGCCCUUUACGCUAUUUUUAAACUCCAAAUGCUGCAGACGAAAGUAAAUACAACAAAUAACAAUGAAAUCCUCUGUGUGCUGAGGAUUCUGGAUAAGCACAGAUGGAUGUUCCUGGCUUUUCACCAGAAGUUAACUAACGGCACUCCUUUAUGGUUGUCAACAGCU